CCUACGGGUGGCUGCAGUGGGGAAUAUUGCACAAUGGGCGCAAGCCUGAUGCAGCCAUGCCGCGUGUGUGAAGAAGGCCUUCGGGUUGUAAAGCACUUUCAGCGGGGAGGAAGGCGGUGAGGUUAAUAACCUCAUCGAUUGACGUUACCCGCAGAAGAAGCACCGGCUAACUCCGUGCCAGCAGCCGCGGUAAUACGGAGGGUGCAAGCGUUAAUCGGAAUUACUGGGCGUAAAGCGCACGCAGGCGGUCUGUCAAGUCGGAUGUGAAAUCCCCGGGCUCAACCUGGGAACUGCAUUCGAAACUGGCAGGCUAGAGUCUUGUAGAGGGGGGUAGAAUUCCAGGUGUAGCGGUGAAAUGCGUAGAGAUCUGGAGGAAUACCGGUGGCGAAGGCGGCCCCCUGGACAAAGACAGACGCUCAGGUGCGAAAGCGUGGGGAGCAAACAGGAUUAGAUACCCGGGUAGUC
rnacentral:rRNA from 1 species